GCGGGGUUGGUGUAGUUGGUCAUCACGUCAGUCUAACAAGCUUCUCAAUCGAGAGCGCGUUGUGCACUGAAGGUCGCGAGUUCAAGUCUCGCAUCCCGUA